rnacentral:lncRNA from 12 species
UGCUUCUACCCUCUUUGUAAAACCCACUUCAGUCAACAAAAAUGUGAAUACUUUUAAAGUUGAAAGGUUAUAGGAGAAGUAUCUCUAUGGUUACUUUUGAAGCUUCAAGUCUCCAAUAUUUAUUUUUAUAAUUUGAAUGUUAUUGUAACAGACACAACAUUAACAUUUGCAGAAUCUGAUGGAGACACCAACAGUGGAAUAUUGCAAGUGCAUGCCAACAGAAUGUCCCCACCAGAGGAACGUGUCAGGUGAACAGUGACAUACACCAGAAUGCUGCUGGCAUUUAGGGAUUAGUGUAAAUGGAAAAACAGUGAGGCAAGCAGAAAAAAAAAAAAAAAAAACAAGUUAGGUAAAUGUGUCCUAGAGAAAUACUAGUCUGGAAAAUUUACAUUACCCUUUUCAUUUUUCUAAGCUAAAAUACAUAGCGUAGUUUUACUGGAAAAAUUUGUGUGCAUAUUUUUAACAGGAGGCACUGGUUUGCCAUGUAAAUGACCCAUCAGGGAACAUAGAUGAAAGGACUAGCUACAGAGCAAGAAUGACCUCAGUGGAAGCUGACACAACACAGAGAAGGAGCCUACGCAAACCUUCAUCCAAAGUCACUCUGUCCGUUAACUCCAGGGAACAAGCAACAAAGUAUACCAAGGCAAUUGGCACAUCGCGGCCAUCUGGCAGCCAGCAAAGGAGGACACCUCUGACACCGUAAGGUGACCUGCCAGUGGUUAAAAACAACGAAAGGUGGUUGCUGUUUAUUCCCAGGGAGCAGCGUACACCUGCGGUUCUUCGCUCAUCAGUAUUCACGGACGCCUCUUCACACUGAAGCAGCCACUGCUGUUGAAGAUCCUUUUUAACUAGACAAAAUAUUUCGGCAACUGUUGCUCUUUGUGAGAAAAAUAAACAACGGGCAAACAGAAAAAAGGUAAAAAUG